rnacentral:rRNA from 1 species
AUUGAACGCUGGCGGCAUGCCUUACACAUGCCAGUCGAACGGUAACGGGCCUUCGGGUGCCGACGAGUGGCGAACGGGUGAGUAAUACAUCGGAACGUGCCCGAUCGUGGGGGAUAACGAGGCGAAAGCUUUGCUAAUACCGCAUACGAUCUACGGAUGAAAGCAGGGGACCGCAAGGCCUUGCGCGGACGGAGCGGCCGAUGGCAGAUUAGGUAGUUGGUGGGAUAAAAGCUUACCAAGCCGACGAUCUGUAGCUGGUCUGAGAGGAUGAUCAGCCACACGGGAAUGAGAAAAGGGCCCAACCUCCUACGGAGGGCAGCGGGGGGAAAUUUGGGACAAGGGGCGAAACCUUGUCCCGCCCAGCCGGCGGCAAGGAGGAGGGCCUCGGGUUGUAAACUGCUUUUGUACGGAACGAAAAGCCUUCUUUUAAUACAGGAGGGUCAUGACGGUACCGUAAGAAUAAGCACCGGCUAACUACGUG